rnacentral:sRNA from 1 species
CUUCCUCGGCCUGCUGCGGCGCAAUGAAAUGGAUAUGGGUGUCGAUGCCGCCCGCAGUCAGGAUCUUGCCCUCGCCCGCGAUGAUGUCGGUGCCGGGGCCGAUGACGAUGUCGACGCCGGGCUGGAUAUCGGGGUUGCCGGACUUGCCGAUCGCGGCGAUCCGCCCGUCCUUGAUGCCGACAUCGGCCUUCACGAUCCCCCAAUGGUCGAGGAUGACCACAUUGGUGAUGACGACGUCGGCGACCUCGGCGGCGUUGCGCUGGCUCUGGCCCAUGCCGUCGCGGAUG